UCGGGUUGACGGUACCAGAUGAAUAAGCACCGGCUAACUCCGUGCCAGCAGCCGCGGUAAUACGGAGGGUGCAAGCGUUAUCCGGAUUCACUGGGUUUAAAGGGUGCGUAGGCGGGCAGGUAAGUCAGUGGUGAAAUCUCCGGGCUUAACCCGGAAACUGCCAUUGAUACUAUCUGUCUUGAAUACCCUGGAGGUGAGCGGAAUAUGUCAUGUAGCGGUGAAAUGCUUAGAUAUGACAUAGAACACCAAUUGCGAAGGCAGCUCACUACGCGAAUAUUGACGCUGAGGCACGAAAGCGUGGGGAUCAAACAGGAUUAGAUACCCUGGUAGUCCACGCCCUAAACUAUGGAUACUCGACAUCGCGAUACACAGUUGUGUCUGAGCGAAAGCAUUAAGUAUCCCACCUGGGAAGUACGACCGCAAGGUUGAAACUCAAAGGAAUUGGCGG
rnacentral:rRNA from 1 species